AUGAACGCUGGCGGCGUGCCUAAUACAUGCCAGUCGAGCGAACAGAUCAGGAGCUUGCUCCUUUGACGUUAGCGGCGGACGGGUGAGUAACACGUGGGUAACCUACCUAUAAGACUGGAAUAACUCCGGGAAACCGGGGCUAAUGCCGGAUAACAUUUAGAACCGCAUGGUUCUAAAGUGAAAGAUGGUUUUGCUAUCACUUAUAGAUGGACCCGCGCCGUAUUAGCUAGUUGGUAAGGUAACGGCUUACCAAGGCAACGAUACGUAGCCGACCUGAGAGGGUGAUCGGCCACACUGGAACUGAGACACGGUCCAGACUCCUACGGGAGGCAGCAGUAGGGAAUCUUCCGCAAUGGGCGAAAGCCUGACGGAGCAACGCCGCGUGAGUGAUGAAGGUCUUCGGAUCGUAAAACUCUGUUAUUAGGGAAGAACAAAUGUGUAAGUAACUAUGCACGUCUUGACGGUACCUAAUCAGAAAGCCACGGCUAACUACGUG
rnacentral:rRNA from 1 species